AUUGAACGCUGGCGGCAGGCCUAACACAUGCAAGUCGAGCGAGCGGCGGACGGGUGAGUAAUGUCUGGGACACUGCCUGAUGGAGGGGGAUAACUACUGGAAACGGUAGCUAAUACCGCAUACCAUCAGAUGUGCCCAGAUGGGAUUAGCUAGUAGGUGGGGUAAUGGCUCACCUAGGCGACGAUCCCUAGCUGGUCUGAGAGGAUGACAAGCCACACUGGAACUGAGACACGGACAAGACGACUAAGGGAGGAAGCAGUGGGGAAUAUUGCACAAUGGGCGCAAGUCUGAUGCAGCCAUGCCGAGUGUAUGAAGAAGGCCUUCGGGUUGUAAAGUACGUUCAGCGGGGAGGCGUUAGCCGCAGAAGAAGCACCGGCUAACUCCGUGCCAGCAGCCGCGGUAAUUC
rnacentral:rRNA from 1 species